rnacentral:rRNA from 1 species
GGGAGUUAAAGUCGAAACAAGGUUUCCGUAGGUGAACCUGCGGUAGGAUCAUUAUACGGAGCUUGACGGGUUGUAGCUGGCCUUCCGAGGCAUGUGCACGCCCUGCUCAUCCACUCUACACCUGUGCACUUACUGUGGGCUUCAGAUUGCGAGGCACGCUCUUUACCGGGCUUGCGGAGCGUAUCUGUGCCUGCGUUAAUCACAAACUCUAUAAAGUAACAGAAUGUGUAUUGUGAUGUAACACAUCUAUAUACAACUUUCAGCAACGGAUCUCUUGGCUCUCGCAUCGAUGAAGAACGCAGCGAAAUGCGAUAAGUAAUGUGAAUUGCAGAAUUCAGUGAAUCAUCGAAUCUUUGAACGCACCUUGCGCUCCUUGGUAUUCCGAGGAGCAUGCCUGUUUAAGUGUCAUGAAAUCUUCAACCUACAAGCUUUGGUGGUUUGUAGGCUUGGACUUGGAGGCUUGUCGGCCGUUAUCGGUCGGCUCCUCUUAAAUGCAUUAGCUUGGUUCCUUGCGGAUCGGCUCUCGGUGUGAUAAUGUCUACGCCGCGACCGUGAAGCGUUUGGCGAGCUUCUAACCGUCUUAUAAGACAGCUUUAUGACCUCUGACCUCAAAUCAGGUAGGACUACCCGCUGAACUUAAGCAUAUCAAUAAGCGGAGGAA